AUGUACUGGAUGAAUCGGGUAAUGGCCAGGUGGCAGAGAACUGUUUUUCUGGAGAAAAAAAAUAAAAUAAAAAUGUUAAUGAAAAUAAAUCACUUUCUCCGCAAUUUUCUGCAGCUCCAUUUUCCAACUAGCUUCACUUGCAAGUAUCCAAAUGCCUACCUUAAUAAAACAGAGAGGUUUCUAAGUGCCAAACUAUUAUGGCUUGAGUUAAAUAUAACUCGGAGAGUUAAAAUAACUUCAGAGCCGGCGGGAUGCGGGCAUGUGAGAGCAGCCCUACCGGCCGCGUCCUCCCGGGGGCCGACGACAGGGACCGACAGGGACCGACAGGGACCCGCAGGCAGCGCCGGAGCUCAGCUGAAUGCGGAUGGAGCCCGAAGGCACCGGGGCCCCGGGCUGAGCACCAGGGCUGGGUGCUGCCAGCCCGGCUCGGGGCACCCCGGGGCACCCCGCACCCCGAGCGCCUGCCCCGGGGGCGGGCAGGAGCCUCGCGAAGGGAAGUGUCAUUUGUACAAAUUGCCAGUCCGUGCCAGCUUGGGAGAGACCUUAGAAGGGAAACCUGGAGCCUUCCCUGCUUUUCAUGUGAGCGGAUGCCCCUUUUAUUUCUGAGCAAGGAGUAAGUGGAGAAAAAAGGAGCCCCUGUCAGCCUCUCGGAGACAAAUUGCUUCCUGCAGCCAGAGGUGGCUCAGCUCUAACAAUCACCCACUGCCAGAGGUGAGCGAGGUGCCCCGCUCCCCGCCAGCCCCCUCCCUCCUCGCACACCAGCUCCCCCCUUAACUACGGGCUUUUAAAUUGAGACCCAGAUAAGUAACUAACCGUCCCUUUCAUUUUUAUCGGGCCAGAAUGAUUUACUGGGCCAACGUGUGAAAAGUGCACGGGACUCCGCUGCUCAGGCGGCGGAAAAUACCUUCCUGCCUAAAUGAAAUGACCCAACCGACGCACAGGGUUAAAGAUAUAUGUGGUGCUCCUGUUCCCUGCCUCCUCUACAUCAGAUGGGCUGUUAUCUCCCUGCGCGCUCUCCUCUUCCGAGAGGGAGGUGGGCAGAACAGGCCACCGGAGGACUGCGAGCCAUAAAGUUAUUAAAACAGUAGAGGCAACAAAGCAGCAUGGAUUCCCUGCUGCUCUGACAUUUCCAGAGGGUGAAAGGUAAAAAUGCAGGGAGGCUCUCAUGCUACGUAAAAAACACAGGCCAGUGCUUUUCGGUUUCUGCCUGAGCUCUCAAAGCAGCUAAUUAAACGGGAGGGAGAAAUCCACAAAGCAAGCUUCAAGCCAGCAAACAAAAGCCGUGCCCGGCAGGGGAGUGGCUGGUCGGGGCUGCGGAAGGACGCUGCUUUCUCCCCGCCGGGGCUGCCUCUGAGCCUUCUUGUUUCGGGGAAGGUCGGGAGCGGGGCUUGUUGCAACCAAAUGGCUCCAAUCACAGCUCCUCAUAAUUCACCCUAAUUCAGACACCGAGGCCAGGAGCCAAACCGCACGGAAAGGUGCAGAGAAUUGCAGAGCAGCGGUGGGAAAUGGCACACUCCCAGGCAGCCACCUCAAAUUCCUUACAGCCUCCGCACCUACACAUCAAGCCCUUUGGCUUCCCAGUGCUCGCACACCUCCCUGCAGCAUC
rnacentral:lncRNA from 1 species